AAGCCAUGCAUCUGGCAUUUACACAACAAUUCUUUGAAUCACUCUCAAACUUCAUACAAACUCUCAUUCUCUAAUUGCUUGAAAAAUGUGAUGUCAUUCCUCAGCUU